rnacentral:rRNA from 1 species
CCUACGGGUGGCAGCAGUGAGGAAUAUUGGUCAAUGGGCGCGAGCCUGAACCAGCCAAGUAGCGUGAAGGAUGACUGCCCUACGGGUUGUAAACUUCUUUUAUAAAGGAAUAAAGUGAGGCACGAGUGCCAGUUUGGACGUACUUUAUGAAUAAGGAUCGGCUAACUCCGUGCCAGCAGCCGCGGUAAUACGGAGGAUCCGAGCGUUAUCCGGAUUCAUUGGGUUGAAAGUGCGCGUAGCUGGGUUGUUAAGUCCGUUGUGAAAGUUUGCGGCACAACCGUAAAAUUGCAAUUGAUACUGGCAGUCUUGAGUACAGUUGAGGUAGGCGGAAUUCGUGGUGUAGCGGUGAAAUGCAUAGAUAUCACGAAGAACUCCGAUUGCGAAGGCAGCUUACUAAACUGCCACUGACAUUGAUGCUCGAAAGUGUGGGUAUCAAACAGGAUUAGAUACCCGAGUAG